rnacentral:sRNA from 12 species
GCGCGGCGACGUCUCUCCUCCUCCCUGACGUCGCCGCGUCUUCCUCAUACCGGGAUCAAACCCGGGUUCGGAUACAUCGGGGCUCUCCUCCUCCCUGCCCUGAUGUUGAAAAGAACGGCGGUUCCCUCUCCUCCUCCCUGGGAACCGCCGUUUUUG